GUAGGUGGCAAGCGUUGUCCGGAAUUAUUGGGCGUAAAGCGCGCGCAGGCGGUUCUUUAAGUCUGAUGUGAAAGCCCACGGCUCAACCGUGGAGGGUCAUUGGAAACUGGAGAACUUGAGUACAGAAGAGGAAAGCGGAAUUCCACGUGUAGCGGUGAAAUGCGUAGAGAUGUGGAGGAACACCAGUGGCGAAGGCGGCUUUCUGGUCUGUAACUGACGCUGAGGCGCGAAAGCGUGGGGAGCAAACAGGAUUAGAUACCCUGGUAGUCCACGCCGUAAACGAUGAGUGCUAAGUGUUAGGGGGGUUUCCGCCCCCCUUAGUGCUGCAGCUAACGCAUUAAGCACCCCCGCCUGGGGAUACGGCCGCAAGGCUG
rnacentral:rRNA from 1 species